AUUGAACGCUGGCGGCAGGCCUAACACAUGCAAGUCGAGCGGAGCGGCGGACGGGUGAGUAAUGCCUAGGAAUCUGCCUGGUAGUGGGGGAUAACGUCUGGAAACGGGCGAUAAUACCGCAUACUAUCAGACGAGCCUAGGUCGGAUUAGCUAAUUGGUGGGGUAAAGGCUGACCAAGGAGACGAUCCGUAACGGGUCUGAGAGGAUGAUCAGUCAAACUGGAAGUGAGACACGGUCCAGACUCGUACGUGAGGCAGCAGGGGGGAAUAUUGGACAAUGUGCGAAAGCCUGAUCCAGCCAUGCCGCGUGUGUGAAGAAGGUCUUCGGAUUGUAAAGCGCUUUAAGUUGGGAGGCGUUACCAACAGAAUAAGCACCGGCUAACUACGUGCCAGCAGCCGCGGUAAUAC
rnacentral:rRNA from 1 species